UGUUGGGGUUGUAGGACACUCUAUACGGAGUUACAAAGGACGACAUUAGACGAAUCAUCUGGAAAGAUGAAUCAAAGAAGGUAAUAAUCCUGUAGUCGAAAAUGUUGUCUCUCUUGAGUGGAUCCUGAGUACGACGGAGCACGUGAAAUUCCGUCGGAAUCUGGGAGGACCAUCUCCUAAGGCUAAAUACUCUCUAGUGACCGAUAGUGAACCAGUACCGUGAGGGAAAGGUGAAAAGCACCCCGGAAGGGGAGUGAAAUAGAACCUGAAACCGUGUGCUUACAAGUAGUCAGAGCCCGUUAAUGGGUGAUGGCGUGCCUUUUGUAGAAUGAACCGGCGAGUUACGAUUUGAUGCAAGGUUAAGCAGUAAAUGUGGAGCCGUAGCGAAAGCGAGUCUGAAUAGGGCGUUUAGUAUUUGGUCGUAGACCCGAAACCAGGUGAUCUACCCUUGGUCAGGUUGAAGUUCAGGUAACACUGAAUGGAGGACCGAACCGACUUACGUUGAAAAGUGAGCGGAUGAACUGAGGGUAGCGGAGAAAUUCCAAUCGAACCUGGAGAUAGCUGGUUCUCUCCGAAAUA
rnacentral:rRNA from 1 species